rnacentral:lncRNA from 1 species
CAAAUGCCACCCAGAGGAACAACUGCUCACUUUCAGAGCAGGAGCAGGAGGCCAGCGGAGAGUACCAGCUGAAACUGAUUAGAGCCAAGAUAGCCAACCAAAUGACUUCAAGAAGACCUCAGGCUUCAUUAUCAUCUCAUUUCCAUGCUAAAAAAACCCCAGCUCCCCAGAACAAUGGGAAAUAUUGGGCACUUCAUCAGGCGAGUUCAGGUGCAUUUCUAGAGAUUGUCCAGGUGCUGGUAACAAUAAUAGAGAACCAUCCAUAUCCACAAGAGGCAGAACCUCUUCCAGCAAAAUGGUGCUGCCUCACCCAAAGGAGAUUCGAGGGUGCAUGCAAAGCAAUGUUUCUAGAAAAUGCCAAAGGAAACAGACACAACUCCAGUGUGGACUCCCGCUUCCCUGCACUGCUGCUCCAUCUUCAGGGCGGAGGCCACAUCGUCCAGCUGGCUGCGAGAACCUCAUCAUGCUCCUUGAUUGUGUGCAGCAGGUGUCUGCUGAAGUCCUCCACACUCUGCCUGUGAGAAAACUGUACUACAGAAAGGUGAGCACCUUGCCCAAAGUUAUGCAGAAAGUGAAAAAACAAGAAUUCUAACCCAGACAACUAGAGGUAAAAUAGACAAGUGGCUUCAUGCAUCAGUAGCAUUGAAAGACACCUUGAAUGUGGCCUUACUUCAAGGUGAUGGAAUUUCUUUUUAAGCUCAGCUUCUACUUCCCUUCUGAGGAAGUUCAUGACAGGGAGCUGCUGCAAUCGAUGUGACUUUCAACUCUAAUAUCCCGAUGAUGUAAAUGCACUGAUCAGCUCAGCAGGAUUUAAGGUCUCAUCCGCUGAGCAGUGCCUCCUCCCGAUUCAGCACAUCCCUGGUGCCGACUUUCUGCACGUGUUCACUUUGAGGCUGCAUUGUGGGUCUGCAAGAAAUGCAAAGCUGGUUGAGGCUUUAUUCAAUUCGAAUUCAAGCUGUUAAAUCGAGGCUCUCAGACUCCUGCUGCCUGGCCAGUGGAGAAAUCAACUUUCACAUAUGGCUUUGGGAUUUCUCUCUGUCAUCCUGGUCGACGUGUUCUCUCAUUUUUCUGAAGUCUGGGACCUCAACACAGACAUCUGGGUGAAGGCCUUGACAGCAGGGCUGGUGCAAAAUGAAUUGUCACAUCACACCCAACGUUCUCAACCUUUAGAAUCUGAAAGUAAGAAAAACACCUCAAACAAAACAUUACAGAUUGAAUAAUUGAAGGCACUAUGCUUGGUGCUGAAGAAGGUCUAAGGAGGUCUACACCACAGAGGCUGCACCCACUCCUCAGCCUUGCUGAGCCACACCAUUCUCAUCUCUACAGCAUCCACCUCUCUUGGCUCUUGUAAGGAUUGAGACAUGCCACCAGGCUUACUAUUGACUCUGAGUAAUCAGCACAGAUUUCUAAAAGAAACUUUAUGGGAUGCUGUGACAUGAAUAAAAACAACUUUAUUCCUUUGGAAAGGACAACCCCACAUGCUAAGAAGAUGAUACUACACGUUGUUAUAGCCCGAAAGGCCCUCUUUCCACAGGGGAGCAGUGAAGAGUAGAGGUUGCCCAUGUGGAUUCCGAAGUCAGAUAGAUAUGGAUUCAGAUCCCAGCUCUGCUGCUUGCUACCCAAGAGACCAUGGACUGUGGACUUUUUAGGUCUCAGGGUUUUUGUUUGUUGUCUAUUUUUCACUUCCAAAACCAGAAAAUGAGAAGAUAUUUUCCAUAAGAUGGCAGUGGAGAAGAGAACUUGAUGGACCUUGCUUGGACAAAAUGCCUUCACCGCUAACUCAGUCAGCUAUGGCGAUGGGUCA